ACGGCUCAGUAACACGUAGUCAACAUGCCCAGGGGACGUGGAUAACCUCGGGAAACCGAGGAUAAACCACGAUAAGUCACUACUUCUGGAAUGGGUAAUGACUCAAAUCUACAUGGCCCCUGGAUUGGACUGCGGCCGAUCAGGCUGUUGGUGAGGUAAUGGCCCACCAAACCUGUAACCGGUACGGGCUCUGAGAGGAGGAGCCCGGAGAUGGGCACUGAGACAAGGGCCCAGGCCCUAUGGGGCGCAGCAAGCGCGAAACCUCUGCAAUAGGCGAAAGCCUGACAGGGUUACUCUGAGUGAUUUCCGUUAAGGAGAUCUUUUGGCUCCUCUAAAAAUGGUGCAGAAUAAGGGGUGGGCAAGUCUGGUGUCAGCCGCCGCGGUAAUACCAGCACCCCGAGUGGUCGGGACGUUUAUUGGGCCUAAAGCAUCCGUAGCCGGUUCUACAAGUCUUCCGUUAAAUCCACCUGCUUAACAGAUGGGCUGCGGAAGAUACUAUAGAGCUAGGAGGCGGGAGAGGCAAGCGGUACUCGAUGGGUAGGGGUAAAAUCCGUUGAUCCAUUGAAGACCACCAGUGGCGAAGGCGGCUUGCCAGAACGCGCUCGACGGUGAGGGAUGAAAGCUGGGGGAGCAAACCGGAUUAGAUACCCGGGUAGUCCCAGCUGUAAACGAUGCAGACUCGGUGAUGAGUUGGCUUUAUGCCAACUCAGUGCCGCAGGGAAGCCGUUAAGUUUGCCGCCUGGGGAGUACGGUCGCAAGACUGAAACUUAAAGGAAUUGGCGGGGGAGCAC
rnacentral:rRNA from 1 species